rnacentral:rRNA from 1 species
GACGAACGCUGGCGGCGUGCCUAACACAUGCAAGUCGAGCGGGAACUUCAGGAGGGGUAACCCUCUUGAGGGGAGAGCGGCGAACGGGUGAGUAACACGUGGGCAACCUGCCCCGGACACCGGGCUAACCCAGGGACACCUGAGAUAAUACCGGAUAUUCCGGCGUGAUCGCAUGGUCGCGCCGGGAAAGCUCCGACGGUCCGGGAUGGGCCCGCGGCCUAUCAGCUUGUUGGUGGGGUAACGGCCCACCAAGGCGACGACGGGUAGCUGGUCUGAGAGGACGGCCAGCCACACUGGGACUGGGACACGGCCCAGACUCCUACGGGAGGCAGCAGUGGGGGAUCUUGCGCUAAUGCGCGAAAGCGUGACGCAGCGACGCCGCGUGGGGGAUGAAGGCCCUCGGGUUGUAAACCCCUUUCGGCAGGGACGAAGCGAGAGUGACGGUACCUGCAGAAGAAGUCCCGGCUAACUACGUGCCAGCAGCCGCAGUAACAC